ACAACAUUGGUGGACUUACUUGUUUACUAUGUCAUUACUUCACUUUCGUAGAUUUUCAGGCCAUUUCGUUGAACCCGCCUUGUAUUGUAUAGAUCAUCUAAUAUUACCCACUACCAACAUGGCUGCCUACCUUUGCGUUAUUGGCAGUGGGUAAUAUUAGAUUUAGAUGAUAUACAAUACAAUACUGGCACGGGUCGGUACAAAACCUGGACCCCCACAUUUGGACCCCCUUAUGGACCCCCACAUGGACCCCAUUAUGGACCCUCAUAUGGGCCCCGGCCCCAUAUGUACCCCUUACAGUAAUUCAUUACAAAACAAGCAUAUAUUUUCAGG